AGGGCUGAUGCCUCGGUACUUCGGGAAGGCUUCAGGCGGGGUUUCUUUAUCCCCUUCCGGGAGCAGGGGGGAUCGGGGGGGUUGCGCAACCUGAAGUCGGUGGCGGAUUUCCCAUUGGUGGUACGUGAAAAACUAGACAAGGAGGUUUCGCUAGGGCGGAUGGUGGGCCCGUUUACGGUACCCCCAUUGGAGGCCCUCCGGGUUUCCCCUCUCGGAGUGGUGCCAAAGAAGGAG